rnacentral:lncRNA from 1 species
UAGAUGGUGGUGUAGAUGAGGCUGGGUCUAGUCAGGCUAUAGAUGGUGGUGUAGAUGAGGCUGGGUCUAGUCAGGUUAUAGAUGGUGGUGUAGAUGAGGCUGGGUCUAGUCAGGUUAUAGAUGGUGGUGUAGAUGAGGCUGGGUCUAGUCAGGUUAUAGAUGGUGUAGAUGAGGCUGGGUCUAGUCAGGCUAUAGAUGGUGGUGUAGAUGAGGCUGGGUCUAGUCAGGUUAUAGAUGGUGUAGAUGAGGCUGGGUCUAGUCAGGUUGUAGAUGGUGGUGUAGAUGAGGCUGGGUCUAGUCAGGCUAUAGAUGGUGGUGUAGAUGAGGCUGGGUCUAGUCAGUUUAUAGAUGGUGGUGUAGAUGAGGCUGGGUCUAGUCAGGCUGGUGGUGUAUAUGAUGCUGGGUCUAGUCAUGCUAUUGAUGGGGGUGUAGAUGAGGCUGGGUCGAGUCAGUCUAUAGAUGGUGGUGUAGAUGAGGCUGGGUCUAGUCAGGUUAUAGAUGGUGGUGUAGAUGAGGCUGGGUCUAGUCAGGCUAUAGAUGGUGGUGUAGAUGAGGCUGGGUCUAGUCAGGUUAUAGAUGGUGG